UACGGGGGGUGCAAGCGUUACUCGGAAUCACUGGGCGUAAAGGGCGCGUAGGCGUCUUGUUAAGUCUCGAGUGAAAGCCUGCGGCUCAACCGCAGAACUGCUCGGGAAACUGAUAAGAUUGAGUAUGGAAGAGGUCGGUGGAAUUUCCAGUGUAGGGGUAAAAUCCGUAGAUAUUGGAAGGAAUACCAGAAGCGAAGGCGACCGACUGGGACAUUACUGACGCUGAGGCGCGAAAGCGUGGGGAGCAAACAGG
rnacentral:rRNA from 1 species